rnacentral:lncRNA from 1 species
GCAGGAGGCGCAGGUGCUGAAGCAGCUGGUGGAGCCGCGCGAGCACGAGCGGGAGGUGCUGCACAAGGCGCUGGAGGAGAAUAACAACUUCAGCCGCCAGGCGGAGGAGAAGCUCAACUACAAAUGGAGCUCAGCAAGGAGAUCCGCGAGGCGCACCUGGCCGCACUGCGCGAGCGGCUGCGCGAGGAGCUGCACGCGGCCGAGGUGCGCAGGAACAAGGAGCAGCGAGAGGAGAUGUCGGGCUAA